CUAUAUUGCAUUGAAACACCAGUUCUUGUCUGAUCAUCAAAGUUAAGCAACAUUGAGCCUGGUCAGGACUCAAAUGGGUGAUCACUGGGGAAUACCAGGUGCUGUAA